rnacentral:rRNA from 1 species
UACGUAGGGUGCGAGCGUUAAUCGGAAUUACUGGGCGUAAAGUGUGCGCAGGCGGCCGCGCAAGUCGAGUGUGAAAGCCCGAGCUUAACUUGGGAAUUGCGCUCGAAACUACGUGGCUGGAGUGUGGCAGAGGAAGGUGGAAUUCCAGGUGUAGCGGUGAAAUGCGUAGAUAUCGGGAGGAACACCUGUGGCGAAGGCGGCCCCUGGUUGGAUACUGACGCUGAUACGCGAAAGCGUGGGAGCGAACAGG